UGCAUUAUAUACACACUACACAAACACACUGCAUUAUAUACACAGUGUGUUUGCAUAGUGUGUUUAUAUAAUGCAGUGUGUUUGUGUAGUGUGCAGUAUAUAA